GCAGCCAUUUUAGAUUCAGGGCUGCCUAUAUAAGCAGGGCAUUUUGCUGCUGGUAGGCCAGGCAGCAACAUUGCCUGGUUACAAGGUUUCAUGGAACAUCCUGGAGGAACUACAAGAAAUGCUAAAUAAGCAUAAGGCCCAAAAUGAAGCCUGGCUCAAAGCCAGAGCAAAGGAAAAUGAUAAGGAAAGAAAAGAAAUCUGUAAACUGAGGGAAGAGAUUCUCCAUGAUCAGGAGAGGCUAAAAGAAGAACAGCAAAGUGUUCAGCAGCGCACUCAGCAACUGCUUUCCAUUAUGCAACAGUUUAAAGGAAUGUGAGCAGUCUACUGAAUAAAGCCUGAAUCACAUGAUCAAGAUCAUAGCAACAACACAGCACCAAAUGAAUAACUGAGCUCUUACGUACCAAUAUAACAAAGAUUCCGUUACUGUGCAUGGUGAAGGACUAUAUUCUGUUAAUGGGAAUAAAAGUCAAAUUUCACUAGGUUGCUCUUCAGCAGUGGGACAAUAUCUCAAUUACAUUUCCACCCACUCUCCUUAGCACAUUUUCCAUUCUGAUUCAAUAUUCUUUUCAUAUUUUUGAAAACUCAUCUCUUUGCCUUGCCUGAGCUUAAAAAAAGAGAAAAAAAGCCAUUACACUCUGCCUAUCUUAA